rnacentral:lncRNA from 1 species
AAUCAUGUGGUUGGUUCUCCUAGCAACCAGCUCAUGUCCUGAAGCUAUCCAGGAGCCUCUAGCUACCAGCCAUCUUAUUAGCAUGCAAAACACUUAUUGUUUCAAAUAUUCCCAAAGUUUUAGGAACUGUGUGCCUUGAAAGGAGCCAGGAAAUCAUACUAAUAUAAUUUUUCCUGGGUCAAUGUGGCAGGACUGGAGAAUAGACCUUGGCAGUGAGAGGGGGCAAAUGUUUUUCAUGAAAAUUUGCAAGUAAUAUUACUGGUGCUGAUAUUACAUAAAACUGAUACUGCUGACAUUUGGCAUAGGUGAUAUAUAGAGAGGUAGCUUUUCUGAGGGUGAUUUCCAGUGAGAACAGUCUUGCUAGUUAGAGAAAGCUACCUGGGGCUGUUAUAAAAAACAUAGAAAGAAAGUAUACACUGAAGUGGUGACACCUCUUUCACAUGAUAGAGAUGUCUGUCACUAUCUUGAGCUGCAGUCACCAUCUCAUCCUUCACAGACAACAGGAUUUUCAAGCAGCCCAAGGAAAACGCCAACAAAGGUGUCCCCAGACAGAAGACAAAGAUCCAGAAUCCUCUUUCUAAAGAAGAUGGUCAAGCUGAGAAGAAACUGGACAUCCCCAAGAUUUCCUCUAUCUUAGUCCCCCUGGUCCUCUGAGGACUGAGACUGCUCACCUGACUUUUCCUGGGUACCAUGAGAAAGCCAGAGGGGAAAGAAGGGGGUGAGUAGAUCUUACCAGUCAGCUGGAUUCGUGUCCAAUGGAUGUUCUGGUUGGAAUUGGAAAGGACCUUUUGGACUGCAGCUGCACAAGGAAGAGAGAGAGGGAAAAAAGGAAGGAUGAGGGAAAAGUGAAGUGAGAGAAAAGAUGAGGCAGGUGGCCAGAGACCCUUAGGAUUCAGAAAUUAACUCAGGAUGAGCUGCCACUGCUUUCUGGGUUACAGGAGAGCCUUUGCCCCCAGCACCUGUCCCGGGUUUUGGCACCAAAUAUAAGAGUUAAGGAGGAAAGAAACAUAAAACAUGGCUUGGCAGUCAAAGACAGGUUUUCUUUAGUUAAAACCUGAGAGGCACUGCUGGCUGAUUGUGGUCAGAAGUACUUUCUCUUACAGGCUAAAAGUAUAUAUUGGUUUUAGGGUGAAA